UAAGUAAGUUGGUCAACUGCGUGGAAACACGAGGAAAGUCUGCGCUCCAUAGAGCAAGGAUGCUGGAUAACGUCCAGUGGGGGCGACCCUAAGGAUAGUGCAACAGAGAGAUACCGCCUAGUAAUAGGUAAGGGUGGAAAGGCGAGGUAAGAGCUCACCAGGCCAUUAGUGAUAAUGGUGCUAUGUAAACCCCAUUCGGAGCAAAACCAAAUAGGAUUCAAAGAUGCGGCUCGUAUCUUCCGGUAGGUAGGUUGCUUGAGGGUAUUGGCAACAAUACUCCUAGAUAGAUAGUUGACGAACACAGAACGCGGCUUAUAGACUUGCUUAUCAU
rnacentral:RNase_P_RNA from 1 species